GGAGGGGUUCCCGAGCGGUCAAAGGGGGCAGACUGUAAAUCUGUUGGCUCAGCCUUCGAAGGUUCGAAUCCUUCUCUCCCCACCA
rnacentral:tRNA from 1 species